GAUGAAGAACGCAGCGAAAUGCGAUAAGUAGUGUGAAUUGCAGAAUUCAGUGAAUCAUCGAAUCUUUGAACGCACAUUGCGCCCCAUGGUAUUCCGUGGGGCAUGCCUGUUCGAGCGUCAUUUACCCCCUCAAGCUCCGCUUGGUGUUGGGCGUCUGUCCCGCUUCGCGCGCGGACUCGCCCCAAAGGUAUUGGCAGCUGUCGUGCCAGCUUCUCGCGCAGCACAUUGCGCUUCUCGAGGCACCGGUGGGCCCGCGUCCAUCAAGCUCACCCCCCCAGUUUGACCUCGGAUCAGGUAGGGAUACCCGCUGAACUUAAGCAUAUCAAUAAGCGGAGGA
rnacentral:misc_RNA from 1 species